UAUCUCUGUUCCUUUUCCAUAUAUGGAAUCGAAGAAACCAUCGUUACUUAACAAGAUUCUUCUACUUUCAGUCAAUGGUGCUGGUAUUUGCUAUUCUCUACUGCUGUCUUACGCCCGGAACAUCAAGCCAAAGAGUUCUAGUAGGUGGUUCAACUUAUAACAAUGCAACUCCAACAGGAAUAGACCUUGGUUUUAAGGCAAGAGGCUUGAGGUGGAAGGGUCAAGAUGCUGUCACAUCUUCUCAGUUGCAGUAGAUGAAGGCAAACAUCUGCAAGAAUUAGUAUCUUAGGAACUUAUUUUUUUGACUAUAUAAUUAUGUAGCAGCAAACAAUUAUACAUAGUCAAGGUCUAUUCUUGGCUCUAUGGUAGCAGCAAACUAAUAUAUUUUGGGAUCUAAUUUUUGAAGAACUAAACUGUUAUGGUUCCAUUCAGUUGUGUAAUCUUCGUGUUCUUAAUGUAAUGCAUCACAAUUUCAGUUGA